AAGCACUCGGAGAUGUCCCUCUUCUCCAGAGUCCACAGUUCCCUUUGCUUUCAUAAUAUUUCCCCUAGUUGAGGAUGGUCUUGGCCUCCAUAGGUAUUAACUUUCCACUAGAUCCAUUAGUUGUACAGAUUAUGUUAGUCACCUCUUAUGUCGAUGCCGGCCAUCAUCAGCAGCUUCUUGGGCACAGGGGCGGAGACGAUGCCGGUGCCUCUGGGGGCAGGGAUGAGGCGCACCAGCACAGAGCCGCAGCGGCCAGUCACCUUGCAAGGAACCGUGUGGGGCUUGCCGAUCUUGUUCCCCCAGUAGCCUCUUCGCACGGGGACGAUGGACAGCUUGGCCAGGAUGAUGGCCCCACGGAUGGCAGUGGCUACUUCCUUGGAGCACUUGACACCCAGACCGACAUGUCCGUUGUAAUCCCCAAUAGCAACAAACGCCUUGAACCUGGUCCGCUGGCCAGCACGGGUCUGCUUUUGCACAGGCAUAAUCUUCAAAACCUCAUCCUUGAGGGAUGCUCCCAGGAAAAAGUCAAUAAUCUCAGACUCUUUGAUGGGCAGAGAGAAAAGGUAGAGAUAUGAAUCAGUAAUUUAAAAUAUAUUCUCAAGUGACUAUACUGUGUCCUAGUGCUCCCAUCUCAGUUGUGUCCCACUCUUGUAUGCCCCCAUGGAUUGCAGCCCACCAGGCUCCUCUGGCCUUGGGAUUUUCCAGACAAGAAUACUGGUGUGGGUUGCUACUUCCUCCUCUGGGGAUCUUCUCAACCCAGGAUUAAAUCCUGAUCUCUAGCAUUGUAGGCAGAUUCUUUACCUCUGAACCAUUAGAGAAGCUCAUUAUACUGUACAACCCAGAAUUAAGAAAUGCAGUCUUAGGCUGGCUGACUUCUCCAUGCCUCCUACCCCUUAUUUGUCAGCUCCUGUUAAGCCCUCAAAUCCAAGUGAGGCGGAAGGGAGUGUAUUGUUCAAGGAUCCUGUUAUCAAACCAGCCACUCCUUAUCCAAACAAAUAUUUUGAACUUCGUUCUUCUCAAGAGUUUCAAUCACAAUUGAGUUUUCCUGAAUCUUAUCACUGUCUUCGUGAGUAUAAAGACACCGAUACCUCACUCAAAAAUGUGCUGUAUGUCACUAAAAAUCAUGAAGGUAGUUAAUGUAUAAUUAAUCUUUGAGUAAAGGUAGGGCUUAGUACUUAGUCCUAAACCCACACAGGACAAGUUAUAUUUUGAAUCCAUUGGUAAAACUUGCAGUUUGGACCUCAAAGCCCUGUUAACUAAAAAAUGUAUUUGCAAUGUAAAAGUUGAGAGUUAUGUUUUUUAAAUUUAUUUAUUUAUUUUAAUUGGAGGCUAAUUACUUUACAAUAUCGUGUUGUUUUUUGCCAUACAUUGACAUGAAACAGCCAUGGGUGUACAUGUGUCCCCCAUCCUGAACCCCCAUCCCGCCUCCCUUCCUCAGGGUUGUCCCAGUGCACUGGCUUCAAGUGCCCUGUUUCAUACAUUGAACUUGGACUGGUGAACAUAUGGUAAUAUACACGUUUCAAUGCUAUUCUCUCAAAUCAUCCCAUCCUCACCUUCUCCCACAGGGUCCAAAAGUCCAUUCUUUAUAUCUGUGUCUCUUUUGCUGUCUCACAUAUAGGGUCAUCAUUACCAUCUUUCUGAAUUCCAUUAUAUGCGUUAAUAUACUGUAUUGGUGUUUCUAUUUCUGACUUAUUUCACUCUGUAUAAUAGGCUCCAGUUUCAUCCACCUCAUUGGAUCUGGUUCAAAUGUGUUCUUUUUAAUAGCUGAAUAAUAUUUCAUUGUGUAUAUGUACCGCAGCUUUCUUACCCAUUCUUCUGCCAAUGGACAUCUAGGUUGCUUCCAUGUCCAUGCAGGAGAUGUUGGUUCGAUCACUGGGUUGGGAAGACACCCUGGAGAAGGACAUGCCCACUCCAAUAUCAUGCGAGGAUAAUUCCAUGGACAGAGGAGCCUGGAGGGCUACAGUCCAUGGGGUUGCAAAGAGUCAGACAUGAGUGAGCAACUGAACUGAACUGAAAACAAACCUUUAAAUAUUCAAGCCAAUUCUUGAGUAACUUAACUCUGUGCCAGAGAAAUUUAGUACUCACAAAACAAAACAGAGGCCCCAGAAGUCAAUGAAUUAAGUUUAAAUGUCCAACAUCCUACAGAAAGUUACUAGCUAGAUGGAGGAGGAAAAUACAAUCAAUAAUUAGGAGAGAAGAACACAAAAGAAAAAGACCUGGAAUAACAGAUGAGGGAAUUAAAUAAUAGUUUAAAUGCCAUAUUUUUGUCUGAAUUAUUAAUAUGUUCACUAAUUUAAAAAACAUGAAACAUUAUGAGAGAAAGCAAAAAGUACAAAAAGGAAAAAAGUAGAAUGCUUUAGAAUAAAAAAUAUAAUGUUAGAA
ensembl:lincRNA